AUUGAACGCUGGCGGCAGGCCUAACACAUGCAAGUCGAACGGUAACAGGAAGCAGCUUGCUGCUUCGCUGACGAGUGGCGGACGGGUGAGUAAUGUCUGGGAAGCUGCCUGAUGGAGGGGGAUAACUACUGGAAACGGUAGCUAAUACCGCAUAAUGUCGCAAGACCAAAGAGGGGGACCUUCGGGCCUCUUGCCAUCGGAUGUGCCCAGAUGGGAUUAGCUUGUUGGUGGGGUAACGGCUCACCAAGGCGACGAUCUCUAGCUGGUCUGAGAGAAUGACCGGCGACACGAGAAGUGGGACACGGACCAGGCGCCUACGGGAGGCAGCAGUGGGGAAUAUUGGACAGUGGGGGGGAGCCUGAUGCAGCGAGGCCGCGUGUAUGAAGAAGGCCUUCGGGGUGUAAAGUACUUUCAGCGGGGGGAAAGGGAGUAAAGUUAAUACCUUUGCUCAUUGACGUUACCCGCAGAAGAAGCACCGGCUAACUCCGUG
rnacentral:rRNA from 1 species